GCAAUCAGUCUUCAAUCCCCAAGAAACAAAGAGUCUUUGAUUUCAGUGUCAGCUGCAAGGCCAUACUUGUUCGUGCUUCAACUUACGCUGCCCAGACUACCAGAUAAAGUUCAUUGCCACUCUCUUCCUCGCCAACAGUAAGCAAAAGCAGGAACUCCUGAGAGAGAAAUGCUUGCCCAGAAACAGAGGAGAAGUUGGAAGAAGGCUAUAUGGUUUUUGUUCUUUGUUGUUGUUGUUGUUGUUUUUUCUUUACUAAGGAAUGACAAAGCAGUAUGCUCCAUGCUCCAUAAAAACUUCAAAAACAGAGCUUCUAAGAAGGGAAUAAAGAACCGACCAGUUAGUAUUCCAAUUAAAUGAAAGUAUAAGUACAGACUUUCUUAUUCAUAAAAUCUUUUUUUUUUCUCAUUUCCUGGCUUAAAAAUGUUUUUCGGAUUGCCAUCCAUAUUAAUGAAGAACAUGUUGAAACCUUUCACAAAGAUCUCACUUUUACACUGGACACAUUGGCUUCACCAAGUUUACCCAAGAUAGAUGAUGACCUAAAAGGUACAAGUCUUCCAUAGACAGCUUUGCUACUGUGUUGGUAUUUCUAAGACUACUGAGGCAAAUCAGCAGCUGUAUCUUCAAACUCCCAGGACCUGAGCCAUGUUUAUGUGGGACAGUAUUGCUCUGCCCAGAGACCUCAGCAGAAGCUCGCUCAGAAGCUAAGUCCUCUGAUUUCCUUUUAGCCUAGUCUCCUUCAUGGGACUUUUACUCCAGUUCCUCCUUACCCCUACAUUCUGGGCCAAGGGCCAGGCUUAUAAAACCCCAGACUUUGGAUCAGGGUUUAGACAUACAUUGCCUAUAAAAAUGUCUCUGAAUCGGCAAUAAUCUCCUGUGCAACUGUACUUGGCUUUAAAAUGCUAUAUGUCUUUAGCAAUUGCUCUUACUGGAACCAAAUCUACUGAGGUUGGAUUAGGGAUGAUAUAAACAUUCUCAACCAAUGGAGGAAAAUAAUCUAGUAACAUUUCUUUCACUGUCUCCUUCUCAAAGCUUUUAAAACUACUGACCUCUGAUCUCAGGUUCCUAAGUGUUACUUGGGAAAGCUAUAUACUAGUGUGAUUUGAUUCUGCUGCAGUGUCGGGCUAAGUGAUUCUCAACCCAGGGCAUUUAGAAAAGAAUCGGGUUAUUUCCUUGGUUAUCACAAUGACAGGGGAGCAAUCCUGGCAUUGAAUGGAUGGAAGCCAGUGAUGCUAAGCUUCCUACAAUGCACACAACAGUCCUGCACAAAAUUCCCACAACACACGCAGGACUGACAAUACUUGUAGUGAGUGAUCUCUAGUUGACUCCCAGCUGCAUUUCCACUAGCGACUGUCCCAAACUAUUUCUGUUCUUCUCAAAACCACUCAGUUACCACCCUCAGUUCAUCUUCUUGUUUCCUCAGACUCUUCACUCAACAAAAACUUACUCAAAUUCCCUCCUUCUUCCCUUUACUCCUCUCUCUGUGCCCACCCUGUUCUCCUUCCUGCCCCCUCAGAAAAAGGAAUUUUUCACCCCUUUCCAAGGAUCACAAUAGCUCCACCCAAGCCUUCGGUCCCUUCCCAUCCCCUCACACCCCACCCCAUCCCCAACUCUGUCUCUGUCUCUUGCAUCUUAAUGCCUUGCCAGUCCUUUCCUCGCCUUAGAAAAGUACUUGAGUUUUUCUGUCCCAAAGAUCAAAUAAAAGCAAAGACAGAACUCUUAAACCUACUACUUAGCCCUUAAAUUAACAUUCUACUUCAUUUCUUCCACAUAGGGCCCAGUGUCUAUAAAGCAUUUUAAGCACUCACUGGUUCUAUUUCUUUACCAUCUACUGGCUCCUAAAACCCUCAUAAGGUAAUUUCCACUCUCCUAAUUCUGCUCUCCUGAAGGUUACUUCAAUGGCCAGUUGCCAGACCACUCACUCUUCAAAUUCCUUGGAUUUCUUUACAGAAUUAGAUCCUUGAUAAAUCACUUAUUAAAGAUCAUUACUCCCCACUUUUCUUCAGCUUGCCACUUGAUUGGUCCCAAUAAGAGUAGGGCCAGCCACACAAGAUGAGGGUCUUCAUUUUCCUGCACUCCCUUUUAGUAGUUCCAUAUUUCCCCUACUUGUAUAUGUCCAGGACUCUGGCUAUCCCGUCUUUGGAGCUCCUUUUCCUCCUCCCUUUGCCAUACACUGAAUGCAGGUGUCAGCCACCCUCUACUCAGUGUCGUUGGCCUUCUUCACAACCAAGUGAAUGAUCCUCAAAUCUACCAACAUUCCUAGUCAUAACGCCACUCUUCAACUUCAGGCCAGACUAUUAGUUACCUGACAGAUAAUUCCACCUGGCUGGUCCACUACCACUCUCUAAAUUUAAAAUAAUAAAAUCUAAAACAUUCUGGUGUGUUUCUUUUACAGCACUUUAAAUUUGGUGAUCAUUUUUAUAGGUGACUGUCUUCCCUACCAACCUAGGAACUCCUUGAAGACAAGGAUGGUUUCUUAUUUAAUUUUGCCCUAAUAUGUGCUUCAGAAAUGUUAAUUGGAUAGUAAGGAAACUGAUGAGUGAGUGAAGACUUGAGGUUCCUUAGAAAAUAGAUGGUGUCUUUCAUAUCUGUGGUCCGGGGCCUGGGCUGGUGCUUAGCACAGAGUAGGUACUACACAAAUACCUUUUGAGUGAAUCUGCCUUCUCUUCUUCCAAGCCAGUACCUUCUAGUUUCUUUCCUAUCAAUGUCAAUGAUACUAGCAUUUUCCUACUUACCCAAGUUACAAACCUCAGUAUUCACUGACCCUUCCACAGUCACUAAAUCCAAUGAGUCUGGUAAGUCUCCCUCAAAGAUUUUAAAUAUUCCCUUUUACAGGCAUACCUUGUUUUACUGUGCUGUACUUUAUUGCACUUUGCAGAUAUUGCGUUUUUUACAAAUUGAACGUUUGUAGCAACCCUGUGUCCAGCAAGUCUGUGGGUGCCAUUUUUCCAAGACCACAUGCUCACUUUGUGUUUCUGUGUCACAUUUUGGUAAUUCUUGCAAUAUUUCAAACUUUUUCAUUAAUGUUAUAUUUGUUAGGGAGAUCUGUGAUCAGUGAUCUUUGACGUUACCAUUGUAAUCAUGUUGGGGUAUCACAGACCGUGCCCAUAUAAGACAACAAACUUAAUAAAUGUUGUGUGUGUUCUGA